GACGAACGCUGGCGGCGUGCCUAAUACAUGCAAGUCGAACGCAGUGGGGACAGUUGAGUAACACGUGGGUAACCUCCCAUCAGAGGGGAUAACACUUGGCAACAGGUGCUAAACCGAUAUUGAUGUAUGGACUCGCGGUGCAUUAGCCAGUUGGUGGGGGAACGGCUCACCAAGGCCACGAUGCAUAGCCGACCUGAGAGGAGGAUCGGCAAAACUGGGACUGAGACACGGCCCAGACUCCUACGGGAGGCAGCAGUGGGGAAUCUUCGGCAAUGGACGAAAGUCUGACCGAGCAACGCCGCGUGAGUGAAGAAGGUUUUCGGAUCGUAAAACUCUGUUGUUAGAGAAGCGGGAUCUAACCAGAAAGCCACGGCUAACUACGUGCCAGCAGCCGCGGUAAUAC
rnacentral:rRNA from 1 species